UACGGAGGGUGCAAGCGUUAAUCGGAUUUACUGGGCGUAAAGGGUGCGUAGGCGGUUACUUAAGUCAGAUGUGAAAUCCCCGGGCUCAACCUGGGAAUUGCAUUUGAUACUGGGUGACUUAGAAUGUGGUAGAGGGUAGCGGAAUUUCUGGUGUAGCGGUGAAAUGCGUAGAUAUCAGAAGGAACAUCAAUGGCGAAGGCAGCUACCUGGGCCAACAUUGACGCUGAGGCACGAAAGCGUGGGGAGCAAACAGG
rnacentral:rRNA from 1 species